GACGAACGCUGGCGGCGUGCUUAACACAUGCAAGUCGAACGGAAAGACCAGGAUUUGGGGGGUGCUCGGGUGGCGAACGGGUGGGGAACAAGUGGGUAACCUGCUCCUGAUUUUGGGGUAACAUCAGGGAAAAGGGGGAAAUAACGGCUAAGAACUUCUUCAGCCUGGUGGGGGUUGGGAAAAUUCGGCGGUUGGGGAUGGACAUGCGGGUUAUCAGCUUGUUGGUGGGGGAGUGGCUUACCAAGGCUUUGACGGGUAGCCGGCCUGAGAGGGUGACCGGGCACAUGGGGACUGAGAGACGGCCCAGACGCCUACGGGAGGCAGCAGUGGGGAAUAUUGCGCAAUGGGCGGAAGCCUGAUGCGGCAACGCCGCGUGCGGGAUGACGUCCUUCUGGUUGUAAACCGCUUUCGCCUGUGACGAAGCGGGAGUGACGGUAAUGGGUAAAGAAGCACCGGCUAACUACGUG
rnacentral:rRNA from 1 species